rnacentral:tRNA from 1 species
AUCUUUAUGGUGUACAAAAACACGCUUCAUUUUCGUUGAUGAGAAGAAAUUAUUUUCUAAAGAUU